UCCGCGUUCAAAGAAUCGCAUUCAAAGCUCACGUACAGCAGAAGUCUUUCUCAGAUAUCUGCAAACCCACUCAAAAACAGCUUUGGGAGAAAGUCCCCGGACCGCCCUACCUCUUCUCAAUUUUGGGGAGAGAACGUUAGGACCUGCCGAGAGGCAACCGCCAUAAAAGCAAUCUUUCACUGCGGUUCUCAUUUCGCCUCCCACUCUUCUCCGAGCUCUAUCCCUCUCCUUCGAGAUCCGACCUCAUUGUCGUUUGUAUUCUCCUCUGGACCUCCUUCUUGUUCGUGGGUCUCGGUGUGGAAUGAAUGAGGGGAAGAUUUGUCUGGGGGAUGGAUGAAGAUAUGAGUCCGUCUCCGUGAAGAUAAUUUUCCUUUUUCUGAAGCAGAGAGGCCUUGAACUUUUGUUGGCUCACCAGGGGGAAGAGAUGGAGAGGGUAACAUCCACAAUUGGGAGAUUGACGGAGCCAGUCUGGAUACUCGGAGAGCUCAAAGAGUGAUUUUUUGGGAGGUUGCGCAAUUCGUCAUAUGUCGAAAGUUAUGCGAUUGCUCUCCGCCCUGACUGCCGCGUUCUUCGCUGUGGUGGGCGGCGGAGAGUAACUCGAUGGGGCUUAUUCUUGAGGCGCGG
rnacentral:RNase_MRP_RNA from 2 species